UGGAUGGGUGCCGUCAGAAUGAGAGUCCAGACAGAUGGAGCGUGUCAGGCUGUGGAUGAUCUGCUCGUGAGUGUUGAUGUUCAUGUUCACCGUUUCGUGAGGACACUCCUGUUGUGACGUCUCUCUGGUGGACAGCAGAAGUGUCUCUGUCCUCCGGCACCUGCUCAGAAUUCAGCAGCCCAUGGUGAAUCCUUCAUCUCUUCUCCCCAGUGCAGGGCUGAAGGAAUGAAGGAGCUGCAGCUCCCUGAUGACCCUCAGGUACAGACGCUUCUCUCAUCACACAUCUCAUCGUCUUUAUCAACAUCUACACAAAUGAUCAACACCGGGUGUUUUGUUAAAAUAGUUUUAUUGUAAACCAAAGAGUCAUUCAUUUGAAUAAAUGUAGCUUUAAUACAGAUGCUGCAUUUACUGCAUCUGACAGAUUUUCUCAUUGACACCCUGAAGCCUGAAAAAAAAUAAAUGCAAUUUCCCACUUUAGUUCUGCCUUUUAACGUGAUCCUUAUGGCCUGAUGGUUUAAUACACAACUGCCAUCAUCUUUUGCCGCAGAAGAGCAAUUGUGAGUAAAUAUUCUGGUGUCUUUUUUUAGGAAUGAAAUGUGUAUAAAGAAACGAUUUUCUUCUAAACAUGAACCGUACACAGUAGGCACAGGAAUAAGCCCACAUCUGCUGUGCAAGGCACUGAGAGCACAGCAGUAUGUUGUAGUGCUGCCUACAGCAUCAAGCCACUGCUACGAUAAGAACCCAGGCCGAAGCUACGCUAACAUGCUGCCCCAUCAUCUGAUUACAUCACUGCUGGACCACAUCAAUCAUAUUUUCUACAUAAAGUGCUCAAGAUUUGUAAAAUAGGGCAGCAGCUCCAAUGACAUCUUUCUUCAUUUCUAAACGCAUCAUAUCAAGUGUUGAAUGGAAGAAGUGUAAAGCAGAUGUAAACAGACCGCUGUGGUCUGUCCUCAUGAUUCAACACUCAGAGACCGUCCUGGAUGACGAGGCCUUCUCCAAACACACCAUUCAACAUUUGCUCUGUAAUGUACGGCUACACAAACCCACAAGGAUCCUUGUGUUCGCGUGAGUCAAUAUUUAAGAACACUUAUACAAAUAACAUUGGCAAUCUAAACAAAAAA